rnacentral:rRNA from 1 species
UACGUAGGGGGCAAGCGUUAUCCGGAAUUACUGGGCGUAAAGCGCACGCAGGCGGUUCGCCCAGUUUGGGGUGACAGUUGUCGGCUCAACCGACAAAGGACUUCAAAAACUGGUGAACUUGAGGACGAGAGAGGAACAUGGAGCUCCAGGUGUAGUAGUGAAAUGCGUAGAUAUCUGGAAGAACACCAAUGGCGAAGGCAAUGUUCUGGCUCGUUUCUGACGCUCAGGUGCGAAAGCCAGGGGAGCGAACGGG